GUCAGUUUAGAGAGAAUCGCCCACCCUUGAUAUCUGAUCAAGUUCUUCAUCCCCCACCUUCAAUGUCUAAGCUCUUGGCUUGCCUGGUG